AGGGAAGAACUUGGGGAAGAAGGUGGAAGGCACGUGAGCUCUGACCUCCAAAGAAUGCUCCUUUGGAGCGUAGUGAGCCACGAAAGGGAGGGAAGAGAGCGAAGGGAUGGGGGGAGAGAUGAGGUAUGCCUCCGUGGGGUGCAAGUUACCGCUGCUGGGGUUGACGCGGAGGGGCCAGGUGGAGGCUCCCGAUGAGUGCGUGCGCGAGAGAGGAGGAACGAUGGAAGAGUUACCAAAGGUUAUAAAAGGGGCGUCUGACUGGGUGAAGACGACGUCGCUUUGAAUGAAGAAAACACACCCCAACGGCUAGUUGCCUUUUCCUUUUUCUUUUACAAUUAUUUUUGUUUCUUUCCCCAGAAAAUAGUUAAUUUUUGUUGACAAAUGGCAUAAACUUCUUUAAAUACAUUGUACUGUAUUGUCUUUGUAAAAAAAAAAUAGAAAAACAUAUCUUUGCAGAUCUUAGAUAUGGUUAACUGAAUUAAUUAUGUAAGUGAUCAAGAUGUAUUAAUAGAUUUGUCCAUAUAUUGAUAAAAUAUAUUAUUUCUGAAAGAUUUACUACUAUUUCUGUGUUCGUUUUCUAAAAUUACAACUUUUUAAAAAAAAUAUCACAACUAGUUCCAAAAAAAUAUAUAUAUAUAUCACAAUUUUUUUUUUUUUUUUUUUGGUUCAAAUAUAAAUAAUAUUCAUUAAUUAUAGGAUUAGUUAUCACAAAUUUUAAGUUUAAUAAAGAGUUAUAAAUGUGUGUUUUUUUGUGUGUUUGUAGUUAACAGGGUUUACAGCCCGGGAACAUCUUUUAACUCAACUGCAAGAAGAAACUUCAACCAGACAAUGAAUUUAUUAACACGUUUACAAGAUCUCACAUCACACUAAGCACAGAAUCUCGUGCUGAAAAAACUUCUCUUAUCAAGUGUGGUGCCCCAACUUUUACAAACCCCAGCGUUACAACUUUGUAGAGAAAAUCAUAUUCUUAUUUCACCACUAAUAUUAUUUACCGAACUAAAGCUGAAUGAUAGAUGACCCUGCUAUGGUUGAUCAUCAAUACACUGGGUGUCCUCUUCAAGAACCAGUUUGGAACAGAACUUCAUGUAAGUUGUAUCUUUUAUUACACUAUAAAUCACCAAGACAAGAUUUGUUUACAGACUCAACAAAGACUAGAGUAUAAUCUUAGACAUCACUGGUGGGACCAGGAUAAGCAGGAAGAGUCAUGAUCCGCUUGUCUAAAACCGGACCUCCCACAGUAAAAUGGUACAGACUCUGAAAGCUUGAGUCUUUGAUCCCAAGAACCUCAUGAACCGGAUCAUCAAAAUAACAUCCUAUUCCAGUUGCUGAGAUCCCCAUUGCAUGUGCUUCCAGGUACAAAACUUGCCCAACAACACCCGUCUCCCAAAACAACCGAGGGUACAUCCAUGACCCCUUCUCCCUCAUCACUGGCUCAAACCGAGCCACCAUCCCUAGGCUGAAGCACCCAUCCCCUGCAAUGUCCUGCAUCAACAACCACCACAACCAUGAUUCAACAAAGAUCCAAGUUAUAUGCAUCCAAUGUUCAAGAAAUCGCUAAGCUAUUGUUAGGCGCUUUUUAAGAAAUUAUUGCUUAGGCGGGCGUCUAGACCGAUUUUUUGAAUUUUUGAACGCGCCUAGACCCGAUUCAAGAAAAAAAAAAUCCUUAAGAAACUAGGUCCGAUUUGGCCUAGACCGAUUCUUAGAACACUUUAUGCAUCCACGACUCGAGAUAUCCAAAGCCUAUUACCUGAUGGCAUGAUAGUCCUUUUGCCAGCCUUUGGCAAUCACCCUGGGCGAGCAUAUACAGAGGAAGCCCAUCAGGGCAACCAUCUGGUCUCCUCCACUCAAACUCAGACCUCGUAGCCCUCUUGAGAUCACCGAGAUGAUCCUCGUUUCUCACUAGAAAAUACAAACCCUUGGGCAAACCCGAAACUCUAUGCACAAACAGAGCAAGAUGAACCUCAGCACAGUCCCAAGAAAGAGCACGAAAGGGCAGUGCAAGCUGCUCUCCUUGCGGCUCUCCCUUGGUGGAAGAACCAGAAGGAAGACAAUGCAUCAACAUCUGGUAAAACGCGGACUUGUCAAUAAAAGUAACACCGUCCAUAUCAACCGCACUUCUUCUCAUCCUCACAACUUGACUCACUGUCAAGUCCUUAUACGAACUCCUGCUAACCACACCACUCGCCUUAAAGGAAGAAGCAUCUAUUGAAGUUGAAGAUGAGUUUGAGAUCAAUGAAGGCUUCUUGACUGCUUCUGCUGUCUUGUAGAUGAUGUCCCAACACAAAUGCUCUUUACUCAGGACAUUAGGAGUCCCUUUCCACUCCAAACUAGUGAACCCUUCUCUAAUAGCAGAGCUUAUACCUUUGUAAUCUAUGUUAAUAAAAUCACUACCUCCCUUGGGGAAAACGAGCAGCAAGCAAUCAGGAUGCUCAGAUUCAAUUUCUGGGAACUCAGGGAGGCCCAUUAGCACGUUGAGAUCAUCACUUCCUAAUCCAUCAAGAAGCUUCAACUCCCACCCCAGCUCUCCAGCUGCAACGGCCAGAGCAGCGAUCGCGUGACCCACGUCGUGGUUACAGUACCUAAACGCGCGUUCUCCGUACUUCCAAGCCUCACGCCAGAAGAUUGAAGAGACACCGAUGAGGAAAGAGUUCUCAGGGAAGAACUUGGGGAAGAAGGUGGAAGGCACGUGAGCUCUGACCUCCAAAGAAUGCUCCUUUGGAGCGUAGUGAGCCACGAAAGGGAGGGAAGAGAGCGAAGGGAUGGGGGGAGAGAUGAGGUAUGCCUCCGUGGGGUGCAAGUUACCGCUGCUGGGGUUGACGCGGAGGGGCCAGGUGGAGGCUCCGGUGGUUUUCCAGGCGGAGAGGGCGAGGGAGUGGAGGAAGAGGUGGGAGACUGUGGAGAGAGAGAUGGGUUUUGGAGGAGGAAGCGAGGAGGAGUCGAAGAGAGAAGAGU
rnacentral:lncRNA from 1 species